rnacentral:rRNA from 1 species
AGGACGAACGCUGGCGGCGUGCUUAACACAUGCAAGUCGAACGGUAAGGCCUUUCGGGGUCAUACGAGUGGCGAACGGGUGAGUAACACGUGAGCAACCUGCCCUUGACUUCGGAAUACCAGUUGGAAACAGCUGCUAAUACCGGAUAUGACCUCUUCUCUCCUGGGUUGAGGUGGAAAGCUCCGGCGGUCAAGGAUGGGCUCGCGGCCUAUCAGCUUGUUGGUGAGGUAAUGGCUCACCAAGGCUUCGACGGGUAGCCGGCCUGAGAGGGCGACCGGCCACACUGGGACUGAGAUACGGCCCAGACUCCUACGGGAGGCAGCAGUGGGGAAUAUUGCACAAUGGGCGCAAGCCUGAUGCAGCAACGCCGCGUGCGGGAUGACGGCCUUCGGGUUGUAAACCGCUUUCAGUAGGGACGAAGCCACAAGUGACGGUACCUACAGAAGAAGGACCGGCGUAACUACGCGCCAGCAGCCGC